rnacentral:SRP_RNA from 1 species
UGUCGGUCCCCGCGCAAGACUAAAUCGUGAACCCGGUCAGGCCCGGAAGGGAGCAGCCGCAGCGAUGGACGUUUGUGCCGUGGUGUGGCUGGCACUG